UGCAGGGCCUGGCUGUGCCCCUUCUGCUGCCAUUUCAGCUCUUUCCACUGCACGGCACCAGAACAAUUGGAAGGCAUAACCGGGCACACAUGAAAGCGUGACUUCAGUAGCUCCGUGUUGGCAGAGGCACAAAGCGCUAUUGCUCCGCCGCCCCUCUGCCCCGAGCUGCAGCAAUACUACAGGCGAAAGCAGGGACGGGCCCUUCUGCUGCGUGAGGAGGCUGCCACUGGCCCUGAGCAUAUUCACCAGUCUUGAGAGUUGCUGUGCCACAGCUGGAUGCUCAUCUGUCCAAGAACCAAGUAUUUCUCUGCCUUUCCACAGCCUGCAAUGCAGUCAGGAAGCAAAGAAUACUAAGGGAUGUUAGCAGCUGCCAAACUGCCAGAGUUACCACAAGGCCUGACGACACGCUGCUGCUGGGACAGGCAGGACGGGACUGUGGGCUUGUCUGCUCUGCUGGAAAACAAGCAGCCAGGAAUGGGCAAGCACAAGCAACCUGCAGAGCUUGGUGACCACAUUUCUUUCGUGCCUGCUGUCCAGCUGGAAAAGAGGUGGAACUUCAGAAUGUGCAGCCCUGAGGACCGCAGAGGGAGAUGGGAGCAGCACAGUGGAAGGCAGCUGUAAAUCCCCACAGAAGAAUCGGGUGGGAUUCUCAUUUGUUAUUCUAUGUGGUAAUGUAUUAAUUCCUUCACUAAACUCUUCUGAUUAUUUUUAUUACCCUUCUGAUGUCACUCUGAAUAUUGCUGUUAUCCUUAUAAAUACACAAACCCCUUUCUGCAGAAUUUUAGCCAUCCAACCAACAUGCUCUGUGACCUUGAAGUCAGUACACUCAAUUCGUCAGUCGAAUUGAAAAUAAUUGAGCUUUGGAUGAGAAGUUCACUAUGUAGCUGUAAGGCAAAUACAUUUGAUAUGGUUCAAGGUGUAAGUAUGUGCACGUAAAAUGAAUAUCAUUCUAAUGGGAUUUGUAUUUUCCUAGAUGGAAGUGGACAAUUUUGACAAUACAUCUCCAUGCGAA